rnacentral:misc_RNA from 1 species
AACGCACAUUGCGCCCGCCAGUAUUCUGGCGGGCAUGCCUGUCUGAGCGUCAUUUCAACCCUCACGCCCUAGCGGCGUGGUGUUGGGGAUCGGCCAGGGCUCUUCGGGGCCGGGCCGUCCCCUAAAUACAGUGGCGGACGUGCUGUAGCCUCCCCUGCGAAGUAGUGAUAUUCCGCAUCGGAGAGCAGCGUGCUCCUGCCGUAAAACCCCCAACUUUUACAAGGUUGACCUCAGAUCAGGUAGGAAUACCCGCUGAACUUAA